rnacentral:rRNA from 1 species
GUCGAGCGGACCGACGGGAGCUUGCUCCCUUAGGUCAGCGGCGGACGGGUGAGUAACACGUGGGUAACCUGCCUGUAAGACUGGGAUAACUCCGGGAAACCGGGGCUAAUACCGGAUGCUUGUUUGAACCGCAUGGUUCAAACAUAAAAGGUGGCUUUUCGCUACCACUUACAGAUGGACCCGCGGCGCAUUAGCUAGUUGGUGGGGUAACGGCUCACCAAGGCGACGAUGCGUAGCCGACCUGAGAGGGUGAUCGGCCACACUGGGACUGAGACACGGCCCAGACUCCUACGGGAGGCAGCAGUAGGGAAUCUUCCGCAAUGGACGAAAGUCUGACGGAGCANCGCCGCGUGAGUGAUGAAGGUUUUCGGAUCGUAAAACUCUGUUGUUAGGGAAGAACAUGUACCGUUCGAACAGGGCGGUACCUUGACGGUACCUAACCAGAAAGCCACGGCUAACUACGUGCCAGCAGCCGCGGUAAUACGUAGGUGGCAAGCGUUGUCCGGAAUUAUUGGGCGUAAAGCGCGCGCAGGCGGUUNUUUAAGUCUGAUGUGAAAGCCCCCGGCUCAACCGGGGAGGGUCAUUGGAAACUGGGGAACUUGAGUGCAGAAGAGGAGAGUGGAAUUCCACGUGUAGCGGUGAAAUGCGUAGAGAUGUGGAGGAACACCAGUGGCGAAGGCGACUCUCUGGUCUGUAACUGACGCUGAGGCGCGAAAGCGUGGGGAGCGAACAGGAUUAGAUACCCUGGUAGUCCACGCCGUA